CUCCUCGCCCGUCCUCUGGACCGCGUCCACGGCCACCGCCGCGACCGAGGAGCCCUUCCCUUUCCACGGUCUUCUGCCGAAGGAGGAGACCGAGACCAGGGCCGCCUCCUUCCUGUGCCGCUACCCGGAGUAUGACGGGCGCGGGCUGCACGUCGCCGUCCUGGACACGGGGAUCGAUCCCGGGGCUCCGGGCAUGCAGACAAGCAUCUCACGGAACCCAGCUGCCUUUGAACUUACCGUGUUGCCGCCAAGCACGACCCUGAUCUGCUUCUCUACCUCCAAGGGCCAGAAUUGCAGAUGAUGCCCACCACACCUGGUUCUGAACUCCGUGCACACAAGCCAUCUGACGGAGACCGCGGGCUCGAUAGGAAGGAUCUUACGGUACUUCUGCAGUGGGUGUGGCCCUGGUACUUACGUUGAGUGGCUCGAGGAUGUUGAGAUGCACCAGGCAGACCAUCAGCUUCACCGUGAUGUCUAUGGGCACACUCUCCGGGAUAGAACAGGUGACGGUCUCAGCAGCUGGGGAGCCAACAGACAAGGUGUUCAUUCCUAUGUGCAAGCUCGCAUGCACAGCCACCUAAGGCAGCUUCAGUCUGUACACAAGAUGCACAGAUGUACACAGAUUUCCCACAGCUCUAGGGGAGACCCAGUCAGUGCUCACUCUCAACAACAUGGUCCGCGGCUUCUCACCUCUUCCAGUCUGGCUCUGUACUCAUCCUGCCUUUUCCUAGUGUCGGCUUAGUCCAGACAUAAGCAAAUCCCCAUACUUUUUACCAGACUUCAGAGGAUUAGAAAGAUAAAAAAUGACCAGGAUAUAUGAAAUCUCUCUUUUUAAAUUCUUGAAUUCAAAAGCUUCACUUUAGACUUUAGAGAGGUAAUAAAAGGGGUCACUUUUCUGCUUUCUAAAACUUUAUUAUAGCAAGACAACUUUUAAAGUUCUAGGAAACUAAAGGAGUUCUAAUCUAUAUUUAUUUCAUAUUUACUUCAAAUUACAAGUCAGUUUGCUUCCAUUUCCUAAACUUUGCAUGAUAUUAAUAAUGUGCCUUGAAUAGUAGGCUCAAAUGUAAGUUGCUGGCAAAUUAAGUAAUCUCAUCUGUUUUACAGAAUUUGCCAUUAAUUAAUAGUCUGAGUUACCCAGUCAUAGGAAUGUGGUUUCACUGUAAGACUGUAGUUAUGGGUAAGCAACAUCAUACCUAGCCCCCAAAAAUAUGGCUAAGCUAGGCAUGGUGGCACAAUUCUGGUGCCUGGAAGGCAGGGGCAUGAGGAUGUUGAGUUUGAGGCUAGCAAGAGCUACAUAGCAAGAACCUGUCUUCCAAAAAGACAGAAAAAAGAAAAGAAAGGAAAAGGAAGGAAGGAAAAAAAUAAAGAAUGACUGUAAACUUGUUUUCUUCUAAAGAUAAAUAGGAGCUGGAUAUGGUGGUACACAACUCCCAGCAUCUGAAGACUGAUUGCCAUGAGUUUGAGGCCAGCCAGGACUACAUGGUAAGUUCCAUGUUAGGCUACAGAGUAAGAUCCUAACCAAAAAAAGAGUCCAAAAAAAAGAACAAAACAAACAAAAGUAAGAGAAAUGUCAAGUUCAAGUGAGUCUAUUAAUAAAUAAAAAACUCAAAACAUUUUUUAAAUUGCUUGCAAACCAAGGGCUAGCAGUAUAUGUCAGUGUAGAAUGCUUGUCCUUCAUGCACAUGCUCUGAGAACUUUACCAACGAGACCCACACCGAAUAAGAGGGUUAUGCUGAUGCUCCUACAUGAAGUUAACUACAACCUUUAUUCUCUUCUGAGGUGCCUUCUUCCAAA